UGGUGUAUUUAUAGAGACAUUUGGAUUUCAGCUACCUACUUGCCAGGUAGGUUUAACAUGGUGGCGGACACCAGGUCACACAAAUUCAAUGACAACACAGAAUGGGAUGUUGGAUCAUAAAGUAUUUAACAACAUUGUUGCUCGGUAUGGAACACGGGAUAUCGAUUUGUUUGCAUCUAGGCUCAAUCACCAGUUACCAAAGUAUGUUGCAUGGGAGCCAGACCCAGGGGCAGUGGCGAUAGAUGUAUUCUCGCUACACUGGGGAGGAAUGUUCUUUUAUGCAUUCCCUCCAUUUUGCCUCAUCAGUCGGUGCUUGCAAAAAAUCCAGCAAGAUUCCACUUCAGGCAUUUUGGUAGUGCCUGACUGGCCUACGCAGCCAUGGUUCCUGCUGAUAUUGGGAAUGAUAAUAGAACCUUAUAUGGUUAUUUCGAAACGCAAAAAUUUGCUGGUUCAUCCCGUGACUCAGGAAGGCCACCCUCUGCAUGAUA